rnacentral:lncRNA from 10 species
UGGGAAAAUGUGGAGUGUCAGUCAAGAGGCAACACUAGGAGGCAAGGAAUCUGCAUUUCUUUCAGACCUUGGCAGAGAGCGCCCUGGGAAAUGCGGAUAUAGAAGGUCAGGAGAACAUCUCUCCUGGUUAUACAGCAUUCCAGGUGGGCUUUCAUGUGGUUGAGGAUAAUAUCAUUAGCACCAAAGGUGAAAAUCCGUGGAAGCUCAUCUUAUUUCAGCAGAAGAGUAGGAUGGGCCUUGUGGCACGAGUAAGCCAAACAAGGGAAAGGCAUUCACCAUCAAUGGACUCCUCAUCUGUUUUUAAGAGGGAAAUCUGAGUUUUCAAGGAAAGCCGAAUACAGUUGCCAAGUUGCCAGUCAAAGAAACAAUGUCAACACCUGCUCAUAGAGAUGGAAUUCCUAACCCGGAAUAUUGCCCUUGAAUUACAACGAGAAAAAGAACACUUCUUAUUCCUGUAGCACCUCUUCAAGUGAGAUGGCAGACCACCUCAGGAUGGAAAUGUAUUUCUUCAUCCCCCUCUCUACUUCCCUGUGACCUCCUGCAAAUAAGGUGAAGACAGGGACAUACUAGGUAGGAGAAGGCAGUUACCCAGCAAGGGCCCCACCCUCAAAACAGAAAUCCUGUGGCCCUAAAUGGGAACAGGUAUUCCUGUUUUUGUGCCCAAAAGUUGCCUUUUGCCCCAUCACACCUCCCUAUCCUGUACCCACAUAAACCCCAAACUGCUGGCUCCACAGGGAGAGACAAAGAGAAGAGCAGAAGAACAGAAGAAUGGAGUGGCAAAGAGAAGAGAAGGAGUGACUGAACAUUGACAAGACUUUGGUUGGGGAUGGUCAGAGAGGAGAUUAGCUGCUAGACGGCCACACUGCGGAGAAAGAUCAUUUUCCCACUCCAUCCCCCUUCCAGCUCCCCAUCCAUCUCACCAAGAGCCAGCUCCACCACUCAAUAAAACCUUACAUUCAUCUUU